CCUACGGGUGGCAGCAGUUGGGAAUCUUGCACAAUGGGGGACACCCUGCUGCAGCAACGCCGCGUGAAGGAAGACGGUUUUCGGAUUGUAAACUUCUAUCAAUAGGGAAGAAAGAAAUUACGUUACCUAACUCAGAAGCCCCGGCUAACUACGUGCCAGCAGCCGCGGUAAUACGUAGGGGGCAAGCGUUAUCCGGAAUUCCUGGGUGUAAAGGGAGAGUAGGCGGCAAGGUAAGCGAUAUGUGAAAGCCUUAAGCUUAACUUAAGGAUGGCAUAACGAACUAUCUAGCUAGAGUACAGGAGAGGAAAGCGGAAUUCCUAGUGUAGCGGUGAAAUGCGUAGAUAUUAGGAAGAACACCAGUGGCGAAGGCGGCUUUCUGGACUGAAACUGACGCUGAGGCUCGAAAGCGUGGGGAGCGAACAGGAUUAGAUACCCCUGUAGUC
rnacentral:rRNA from 1 species